rnacentral:rRNA from 1 species
GACGAACGCUGGCGGCGUGCUUAACACAUGCAAGUCGAACGGAAAGGCCCUGCUUGCAGGGUACUCGAGUGGCGAACGGGUGAGAAACACGUGGGUGAUCUGCCCUGCACUUCGGGAUAAGCCUGGGAAACUGGGUCUAAUACCGGAUAGGAGCCAUUUUUAGUGUGAUGGUUGGAAAGUUUUUUCGGUGUAGGAUGAGCUCGCGGCCUAUCAGCUUGUUGGUGGGGUAAUGGCCUACCAAGGCGGCGACGGGUAGCCGGCCUGAGAGGGUGGACGGCCACAUUGGGACUGAGAUACGGCCCAGACUCCUACGGGAGGCAGCAGUGGGGAAUAUUGCACAAUGGGCGCAAGCCUGAUGCAGCGACGCCGCGUGGGGGAUGACGGCCUUCGGGUUGUAAACUCCUUUCGCUAGGGACGAAGCUUUUUGUGACGGUACCUAGAUAAGAAGCACCGGCUAACUACGUG